GCGGUCGUGGUGGAACGGCAGACACGCUAUCUUGAGGGGGUAGUGCCCAGUGGGUGUGCGGGUUCAAAUCCCGCCGACCGCA
rnacentral:tRNA from 1 species